UGACAAGUGUACCUUUUUCUUCUAUGUGUGGUGGUGCACUGGUUCUAGACUGCGAGCUAAGGUAAUUCAACUUUUUGUAACCAUUUAAAAAAACAAUUUAAAAUAUACUGCUGAAGUAAAUGUUUAAAUGUAUAACAAAGCAUAGCUGGCAAGUAUGCCUUUUCUUUCACGUGUGGUGGCACAUUGGUCAAAGACUGCGAGGUAAGUCAAACAUUGUUUAGAAUAUACUGCUAAAGUACAUUUAAAUGUAUAACAAACCAUAGCUGACAAAUGUAUCUUUUUCUUUUGUGUGGUGGUGCACUGGUUAUAGACUGCGAGUUGAAGUUAAAUGCUUGCUUUUUUCAUAGCAAAAUUAAGACCGUAUCCAUGUGUGCUGGGCAGUGUUAAGAUAUUAAUCAGUACUUGUGUCUUGUCAAGGGCUUAUGUGAAUAUGUUGCUGGUCACAAAAUCUUGCAUUGAUAUUUUAAUUAAGAAACAUUUCUUAUUCUCUUUCCAUUCCUGUUAAUCUUAGUACAUCACAUUUUUAUGUUAAUCAUUUGAACCGUUUGAAUAGCUACAGUGUAAUCAGGUUCUGAUGCUUUAAGAAUUGAGAAGUACAUGUAGUAAUUCUGUUUCCGUGUUCACAGAUGCCGCGACCAACGAAGAGGUCGACAAUAGCCAAACGGCUAUAUGCACAGAGAUGUGCAAGUACAGAGGCUGCACCGCUUCCUCUUAAAAUAAUUGAAGCAGAGUUUCCACCCCUUCCUCUUAAAAAAAGGGCAGAGGCUGCACGACCACCUCUUAAAACAUACAAGGCCGAGGUAACGCCGCUUCCUCGUAAAAAAAUGGCCGACUGCUCCGGCAGUUGUAAUCCUGGCCCCACCCAGCAGGUUCCACCCUGUCCUGCAAAAACAAACGGGAAAGAGGCUGCGACGCUUCCUCUCAAAAUAAGUCAAGCCAAGGUUAUGCCCACUCCUUGUAAAAAAAAAGGCCGGUUUUGCCAUCGUGUAGAAACCACCCCUCAACAGGUUCCACCCCUCCCUGUGGGUACAAUUGGGGUAGAGGCAAAAAUGCUCCCUCUUAAAACAAGUCGAGCCGAGGUUAUGCCACAUCCUCGUAUAAAAAAAGGUCGGUUUUGCCAUCGUGUAGAAACCACCCCUCAACAGGUUCCACCCCUCCCUGUGGGCGCAAUUGGGGUAGAGGCAAAUACGCUCCCUCUUAAAACAAGUCGAGCCGAGGUUAUGCCAUAUCCUCGUAAAAAAAUAGGCGGUUUUUGCCAUCGUGUAGAAACCACCCCUCAACAGGUUCCACCCCUCCCUGUGAAUCCAAUUGGGGUAGAGGCUGCACCGCUCCCUCUUAAAAGAAAGCGAGCACCAACCAAUGAGCGAACCCGUUCAUUGGAUAACUAUACAAUCUCAUUUACUUCUCAUGAAAUCUCAUUUACUUCUCAUGAAAUCUCAUAUACUUCCAACAAACUAUCAGAAAACAACCCAAAUUUCCACAGGUCUGAUCAAUCUCAUAGUUCCAGAGAAUCUGAAGAAAGGUUUGCUAUCCCAUCAAAAUUGAAUGCGAAUGCUUUGAACACUUUAAAUGUGUGCGCUGAUUCUCCACAGAAAGCAGUGCUAAAAGGUUCUUUUAAUCAAGCUGAUGCCCGCUUUGGUGAUUCCAGUUUUCCAUCCACGUCUGGUAAAGCCCUUUACAGUGAAGUAUUAAAACGCUCACCCAAGGUCUGUGAAUCCGUAAAGACUGAGGUAAGGCCAUCUGAUUUUCAAGUAGACUCUGGCAAACCCCGGCAACACCAGAUGAAGCACCCCAUGAAAACCCAACUAAAAUCCAUGAAAAAACCUAUCCAAACUGAACAAAACAUUCCUGUAAUUUGCCAUGAAAGUGCUUUGAGUGCUUGUUGUGAUUUUCCACAGAAAUCCAUGCUAAGAGGGUCUUUUGAUCAAGCUGAUGCCCGCUUUGGAGAUUCACGCAACAGGCAGUGUGGCGCCAUUGGUCUCACGGCAGUGUUGAAAAGCAAGCUGAAGAAUGUGCUGACGUGGACUACACAAGAUCUGGACGGUGUCUUGGUUGAAGGAACACAUCUUUACGAGUCUCUAAGAAAACAUGGUAACAUAAAAGAUAGAGAAGUCAAGGGUAGGAAUUACAUUGCAGUCCAUGAAUUACCGAGGAGACACAUGUUGGGUAAUACUACAUUUUCCAUCGAGUACGCUCCGUCUCUGACUGGUUUUGUUAAUGUCAAUGAGUACCACGAGUAUGACCAAGCCAUAAGCGCUGUAGCCAUGCCACUUGAUGUAGCCCUUCAGCAAACUCUACUGAGUGCUGAUGCUUUCUUGUUAACCAUUUGUGCCAACACAUCUGCAGUUAUUAAGCAGGGGUCAUGGUAUGCAGUCGUUGACUCUCAUGCCAUCAGGACAGACACAAGUUGUGUAGUCUAUCACCGUACCAUAGAGUCUCUGUACGACUAUAUCAAUGACAUGGCACAGUUGUUUGGGGUACCUGAGCCACCAUUUGAGAUAACUGGAGUUUUGGUUCAUGCAGAUGCAGAAGUGUCUGAUCCGCUGCAAGAAGCAGGCAGCAGCGGUUUCCCAUGCUCUUCCGGUAAAGCCCUCUACAGUGAUGUCUUAAAACGCAUACCAAAGGUACGUGAAUCUGUGAAGACUGAGCCAAAGACCCCUGAUUAUCCAGUACCUGUGGAUGAAGUUGCAGAUGUGAGAAACCCUAACCUUCCAACACAGACAGCCUCUAAUGUGUUGCCAAGUAAAGGUAAAAGAUUGAGGAAAGAAAAGCACAUUGAGCUGUCAGGUAAACGGGUUACAAAAUCCCACGCUGAAACUGUUAUAACCGAUGAUUUGAUGAUCACUGAUGUUUCAGUUCCAGAUGUCUUUUUUUCUCCCUUAACACAUAAUGAUAAGCAAGCUUUAUGUGAGCUCAUACAAAUGUCCAAUGAUAACGGUGACCAUAAUGUCAUAAACUUUGGUCCCAUUGCAGCUCCGUGUCAGACAAAGACCAUUAAACCAGACGGUAACUGCUUUUUCAGAUCGUUGGCACAUGUGAUAUGUGGAAGUGAAGAGAAACACUUGAAGGUUCGCCGUGCAGUUGUGAAACAUCUAAAGAUGAAUACUCUGCUGUUUGAGAGGUACGUGAGAAGUGAGUAUUCUUCAGCAGAGGAUUAUCUGACACGAUCUAGAAUGUUUUAUUCUGGCUCAUGGGUAACCGAAAUUGACAUAUUUGUUGCGGCCGAUCUAUUCAAAACCACCAUAAUGACUUUUAAUGACAGCCGAUGGAAUGCACACAAACCUACCGGAGAGGUAUCCACUCAGAAUGCAAUUUAUCUGAAACACUGUAACCGUAAUCAUUAUGAAGUUGUGACAUGUGUUAAGCACAAGGAUCGAGAUGCUGUUUGUGCAGGAGCAUGUGGAAAUGCGGUGUCAAAUGAGGUCAGCAAACCAUGUCUGCGUAAGCGAAAGGUAAGCGAUGCUGCAGAAUGUUGUCCCACCAAAAGACAUCGGGAGAGAUAUAGCAACGACCGUGAGUACAGACAAAAACAAUUGAAGUACAAGAAGUCAAAGUAUGGUAAUGACCCUGAAUACAGACAGAACAAAAUUGAGCAUGCCAAAGCUAAAUAUUGUGAUGCCAUUUACAGGGGGAAAAAAAUUGAGAAUGCCAAAACAAAAUAUUCUGAUGACACCAUUUACAGGGGGAAAAAAAUUGAAUAUGACAAAACAAAAUACAGUAGAGAUAGAUAUUACCAAGAGAGAAAAAAGGGAAUUCUUCGUGACAAAUAUCUAAAAAAUGUUGAUGUUCGUUUAUCAAAGUGUGAACGUUCUAAAGCCAAGUACUUGAGCAAUAUUCAGUUCCAAAAACGUGUUUGCCAGUAUUCUCGAUUGAAAUAUAAAUAUAAUGUCUCUUUUCAGGCAAAUGUAUGUGAGUAUUCAAAGAAAAAAUAUCUGCAAAACCUGGCCUUCAAAGCAAGAGUGUGUGAGUAUUCAAAGAAAAAAUAUCUGCAAAACCUGGCCUUCAAAGCAAGAGUGUGUGAGUAUUCAAAGAAAAAAUAUCUGCAAAACCUGGCCUUCAAAGCAAGAGUGUGUGAGUAUUCAAAGAAAAAAUAUCUGCAAAACCUGGCCUUCAAAGCAAGAGUGUGUGAGUAUUCAAAGAAAAAAUAUCUGCAAAACCUGGCCUUCAAAGCAAGAGUGUGUGAGUAUUCAAAGAAAAAAUAUCUGCAAAACCUGGCCUUCAAAGCAAGAGUGUGUGAGUAUUCAAAGAAAAAAUAUCUGCAAAACCUAGUCUUCAAAAGAAGAGUGUGUGAGUAUUCUGUAAUGAAAUAUCAUAAAGAUGUGAACUUCCGUGUGCUUUCAAUACAAAAAGGUUGUGAAAAGUAUGCAAGAAAGAAGGAACAACAAGACAUUGAUGUUGCUAUUGAUCUUUUUAGACAAGAAAUUAGUAGUGGUCCAGAGUUUGUGUGCUGUGUCUGUCACCGUUUACUUUUCAGAAAGCAGGUUGUUGAAUGUAGAAGACAAUGCUAUGAAGACAAAGGUGUAAAAAUCGCUGCUUUGGGAAGAAGAUGCAUCACAACCAGGUAUGUUCAUGUCUGUGAUCAAAAGUGUGAAGGAUCUUCUGCUCAUUCCUCAGGGUGCAAAUUAUGGAUCUGUCUAACGUGUCAUCGGAAAAUCCUCUGUGGACAACUGCCCGAAGAGAGCGUUGCAAACAACAUGCAUUUGGUGGAUGUUCCAAAUCAACUGAAAUGCCUCAACUCUUUGGAACAACAUCUAAUUGCACGUAACAUUCCUUUUAUGAAAUUACUGUGCCUUCCUCGUGGUAAACAACAUGGAUGCCAUGGCCCUGUAGUGUGCGUCCCGGUUAAUGCCACAGAUGUGUCCAAUAUCCUUCCACGAAAUGAAUGUGAUGACAAGAUGAUAAGGAUCAAACUGAAACGCAAGUUAACCUACAAAGGGCAUUAUGAGUACAAGUAUGUACACACUGAUCGUGUUCGAAAUGCUCUGAAAUAUUUGAUCCGGUUCAAUAAGUGGUUUGGUGAUGUGGAGAUUAAUCAACAGUGGAUCAACUCUUUGAACGAACCAGAAGAAAAUGUUGAUGAAAUGGAGCAACAAGACGUAGUUGAAAAGAUUGAUGAUGAAAAUGACCUUGAUGAACAGCAAGAGGAAGACCUUACCUACAUCAAAGAGCAAAGUGGUCUUUUGUCAGAUACGUCAUUGCAACCUGUGGACAUCGGUUCAGAAGUAAUUGAUCAGCAUUUCCAGGAUGUAUUAAAUCUGGCACCUGCUGAAGGUAACAGUCCUGUUAGUUUGUUAUCCGAUAGGUCUAACGAAGCAAAAUGUUUCCCUGUUCUAUAUCCAACUGGUGGUCCAACAUUUCAUGAUAAGAGGGAGGUAAAAAUAACAUUGUCAAGAUACUUGAAUGCAAGAAUCCUCAAUGCGGAUGGACGUUUUGCACGAAGCACAGACUUCAUUUUCUAUGCACAGUAUCUGUCGGAGAUUGAUCAAGUUGUAUCCAAUGUUUCAAUUGCUUUGCGCAAAGGAUCUGAGAAGAGUUUGUUGACUGAAGUGACUUCAGAUGUACUAACAAACCCAGACUCGUUAUCUAAAAUCUUGAAUUUUGAUGAAGGAUACAAGUUUUUGAGACCAAUCCGUGGAACACCUCCAUAUUGGCAGUCUACUCAAAAGGACCUUUUUGCACUUGUAAGACAGCUAGGUAUUCCAACUUUCUUUGCAUCCUUUAGUUCUGCGGAUCUCAGAUGGCCAGAAAUGAUUAGUACUAUAAUCAAACAGGAAGGGAAAAAUGUGAAAGCAGAUGAACUUGACUGGUCUGAAAAAUGUGGAUUGAUUAGACGAAACCCAGUGACUGCUGCAAGAAUGUUUGAUCAUAGAUGGCAUUGUUUUCUGAGAAAUGUAAUCAUGUCUUCAGCUCAACCGAUUGGGAAAAUAGUAGAUUACUUUUAUCGCGUAGAGUUUCAACAGCGUGGAUCUCCUCAUGUUCACUGUCUGUUUUGGGUUGAAAAUGCCCCAACGUUAAAUGAAGACAAUGAAGAAAACGAUGGUUUGGUUGCUAGUUUCAUUGAUCGUUACAUCACUUGUGAGACCCCAAGCGAGGAUGAAACUGAACUGUUUGAGAUUGUCAACGGUGUUCAGAAGCACAGUGUCAGACAUUCAAAGACAUGUCGUAAGAAAAAGACAGUUUGCAGAUUUAAUUUUCCACGACCCCCAUCAAGCCGUACCUUUAUUACAAGAGGUGGUAGUCGAGACGAUUUGAAAAGUGGUGACGGAAAAGAUACUGCACGUACAGUUUUAGAAAAAGUGAAAAAGGCUUUAACAGCUUCUGAUAUGGAUUAUGACUCAACUGAUGCAUUUUUUGAAUCCAUUGGUAUUAACCAAGCUCUCUUUGAGAAAGUGUAUGCACAGUGUUCCAAAAAGAAAUCCGUUGUCCUGAAAAGAAGUCCAAAAGACGUCUGGGUGAACCAGUAUAAUAAACAUUUACUGCGUGCCUGGCAAGGCAACAUGGAUAUCCAGUACGUCACUGAUGCUUACUCUGUAGUGGUUUACAUUAUCAGUUACAUCACAAAAGCAGAACAAGAAAUGGGAUUGUUGCUGCAACGUGCGCAAAACGAAGCCAUGAAUGGAAACCUUGAAGCGAGAUCAUCACUGAAGAUGCUUGGUAGUGUAUAUCUUCACAACAGAGAAGUUUCUGCUCAAGAGGCUGUGUAUCGUCUGACCGGUAUGCACUUGAAGGAAUGUUCUCGUAAAGUCCAGUUUAUUCCAAUUGGAUUGAAUCCUGUAAAGAUGAGUUUGCCUCUUCGUGUCAUCAAAAACAAAGUUGAUCAGUCUGGUGAAGAAGCUAGCUUUUGGAUGACUAGUCUGGUUGACCGAUACAAGAAUAGGCCAAACACGGAAGAGUUUGAGACCCAAUGUCUUGCAAGUUUUUGCUCUGAAAACAGGAUCUUGUCAAAAUCGGAGGUUUCUUCACAAAAAAAGUCUUCUGAAGACAAGGUGAUCAAGCUUAACAAUGACUGUGGUUAUAUGAUGAAGAGAACUCGAACUGACCCUGCUGUUGUUCGAUAUCCGAGAUUUUCUCCCAAAAAAGAUCCAGAAAAGUACUUUCAUUCAUUGUUGCAACUUUUCUUGCCACAUUAUGAAGAUUGUCAGCUCAAGCCUGAGAGUUUUAGCACUUAUGAGGAAUUCUACAACAGUGGUGCUGUGAAAUGUGGGAGAAAUGUGACGCAAGUCAAAUGUAUUGUUGAUGCUAAUCGAGCACUCUUUGAAAAGGAAAGUGACAAAAUUGAUCGAGCUCAACAGCUUUUGGAGCAAGGUGUUGAUUUGGAAGAUGCUUGGGCUGCGUUAUGUCCUGAAACUGAAAAGGAACGUCACGAAUGUUUAGAACUAAGGAAGAGUAAUACAAUUCCUGAUGAAGAUGAUUCUGAGUGUUCUAUUCCAGAUCUUGUAACGAACCCUCGAACUCCAUACAGUAUUGAAACCAAUCAGGCUGGAAUUUCUAGAGAAGAAGCAUUAUGUUUACUGCGAUCAUUAAAUGCACAACAAUGUGCAAUCUUUUACAAAGUACGGAAAUGGUGUUUAGAGAAACUUCUUGGUGAAAACCCUGAACCAUUUCACUUGUUUGUCACUGGUGGAGCAGGCACAGGCAAGAGUCAUUUAAUCAAAGCGAUCUACUAUGAAUCCUCCAGACUUUUAUCUCAGCUGUCCGAAAACCCUGAUGAUAGAAGUGUGAUUUUAACUGCGUCAACCGGAGUGGCCAGUUUUCAAAUUGGUGCUUCUACAAUCCAUAAUACCUUUUCCAUAGGUGCCAAUGUCAAACUGCCAUAUCAGCCCCUAAGUGAUGACAAAAUCAAUUCACUGCGUGCAAAACUGGGAGGUUUGCAGAUUCUGAUCAUUGAUGAGGUGUCUAUGGUUGACCAUCACCUUUUGUCUUAUGUUCAUGGUAGAUUGAGACAAAUUAAGCAAACUGGUGACUACUCAAUUUUUGGAAGAGUCAGUUUGGUCUGUGUUGGUGAUUUUUAUCAGCUACCGCCAGUCAAGGGAAUUCCCCUGUACGUUGAUCCAAAAGGAGUGAAUCUUUGGGAUACCAACUUUGAAAUUGCUGAACUAACACAAGUUGUCAGGCAACAAGAUGCAUCUUUUGCUGAAAUGUUAAAUCGUCUGAGAGUUCAUAAAAAGAACGAAACUCUAAGCCCAAAUGACAUCAACAUGUUGAAGCAACGUGAAACUGGUGAAGAAUGCGAUGCUAUUCAUAUAUUCCCUACAAAUGCUCAGGUUGAUGAGUACAAUAUACAGAAACUUAAUGAGCGUUGUCCUGAGGCAAUCACUAUUCACGCUAGAGACUUUGCUAGAAAUCCAGAAACUGGAAGAAUAGAAAGGAAAGUUGGAUUUCAUGCAAAAGUUUUCAACUCUUGUUUGGACAAAUGUGUUUCCUUGGGUGUUGGUGCCAGAGUAAUGCUUAGGAAAAAUGUUGAUGUUUCUGAUGGACUUGUCAAUGGAGCCUGUGGCACAGUUGUCCACAUAAGCAGAAAACAAAGACAUGAUGAUGAUGAUGAAGAUGAUGACUUCCCAUCAGCUAUCCAUGUUGAAUUUGAUGAUCCAAAUGUUGGUAAAGUUCAGAGAUCGAAGCUGCGACAGAAAUAUUCUCCAAAUUCAACUGUUAUUGAAGUGGAAGAAGAUCAAGUCUCAAACGAUGGUGGUUUAAGACGUCAGUUUCCACUUAAAUUGGCAUGGGCAUGCACCGUUCAUAAAGUGCAAGGACUCACAGUAGAUCAAGCGGUCGUCUCACUUGACAAGGUAUUUUCUCCGGGACAAGCAUAUGUUGCACUGAGUCGUGUUAGAACCCUCGAUGGACUAAUAAUUAAUAACUUCAAAGACUCUGUCAUAUAUUGUAAUGAGAAAAUUGACUCCGCUAUGAAAAACAUGCCCCGACUUGCUUUAGAAAAUUACAGUUUUGUAAAGACACCUGGCGUGUUUACAAUUGCUCUUCAUAAUGUACAAAGUCUUCGAGCUCAUGUUCAAGAUCUUCAAGUUCACAGACAGAUAAUGAAUGCAGAUUGCAUCGGUUUAACUGAAACGUGGCUAAAAGUUGAAGACCAAGUACAGAUUCCAGGAUUUGUUUUUAAGAGCAAUCCAAGAGCUAAAUGUUAUGACAACAGUACUCCACUUUUCACUGAUUUAAAACAACAAAGAGGAGGUGGAGUUGGACUAUUCUGUUGUGAAAGCAUUCAUUUUAAUGUCAGGGUUCCAGAACCUUGUAACUUGGAAUGUCUAUACUUUGCAGUUCCACAUCUAAGUUUGAAUGCUGCUUUGCUGUACAGACCUAAUUCAUAUCCACUUAAUCUGUUUCGACAAAAUAUGUUGCAUGUUAUUGAUGAGCUGGAGAAACAGUCAGGAAAGAAAGUGAUUAUGGGAGACUUCAAUGAGGACAUCUUGACAUCAUCUACAAUUGGUACACUAAUGGAACUACAUGGAUACAGUCAACAUGUGCAACACCCUACCACUGAAAAAGGUACACUGAUAGACCAUGUCUAUGUUAAAGAUGCAGAUAAUGUCUCUGUUGAAAUUGUGCAAACGUAUUACAGUUACCACCAAGCAGUCCUUAUUUCACUGAGGUAAAAAUUAAUGUGUGUGAUUAUGUAAUGAAAUCUCUAUAACCUGCAUUAUUUGUUUCUUGUCUGUGCUCUUACUUGUUCAAUGUUCAUCCUGAGCUUCCAACUGGCAUACAACUGCAGGGCAAGUGUACAACUGGAGACGGUAUGUUCUAAGUCUAUCUAUAUGUAAAUGAAUAACUCUUAUAAUGAUCCAUCAGUUGAAUAUGUACAGCUGUUCCAUGUUAUGAUUGAAGUAUUAUCUGAAGGUAAUCCAUUUUAUCAAUGCAACACUCUGAAAUGAGAAUUGUAUCACUGUAUUGUCUGUUCUGUUUUUGUGUCCAUACGAUAUGAGUGCUAUCCUGAGAUUCCAACAUGGUCAGAGUCCAGUUAAUCCAGCCUGUAAUUCAAACAAGUGAUCAUCAUUUUCAACGCAACAUCUCCCAUAAUUGCUCUUCUUUCUUGAGCUAGUAAACUUCACCCAGCCAAGUCAUUCUAAGCCAUCCAAAUCAUAAUGGAUGCUUCCAAACAUUAUAGGAAGCAUCCACAAAGACUGCCUGCAUCCAUCCAUUUGUCUCCUAAUAUCACAAUUAAGUCAAUAGAACAACACAAAAUUGGUUUGUGCAUCAACUAACUACUAACUACUGUCAAAGAUUUCUGCAAUGUUACACUUCAAACUUCCGCCUUAUCCAUUAUGAUUCUCCGCUCCACAAACUGUUUUAAUGAAGAGGCACACAACCAAUCAAAAGGUUUGUGCAAAACGUUACACUUCAAACUUCGGUCUUAUCCGCUAUGAUUCUCCACCCCAUGAACUGUUUUUAUGAAGAGGCACACAACCAAUCAAAAGGUUUGUGCAUGAAAACCCAAUAUCUACGGUCCACUUCUCCAAAAAGAUUUCUGCAAUGUUACACUUCAAACUUCCGCCUUCUCCAUUAAGAUUCUCCACUCCAUGAACUGUUUUUAUGAAGAGGCACACAACCAAUCAAAAGGUUUGUGCAUCAAAACCCAAUAUCUCCUGUCCACUACUCCCAAAAGAUUUCUGCAAUUUACUACACAUCAAACUUCCUUCUCCGCUAUGAUUCUCCACCCCAUGAACUGUUUUUAUGAAGAGGCACACAACCAAUCAAAAGGUUUGUGCAUCAAAACCCAAUAUCUCCUGUCCACUACUCCCAAAAGAUUUCUGCAAUUUACUACACAUCAAACUUCCUUCUCCAAUAUGACUCUCCACCCCAUGAACUGUUUUUAUGAAGAGGCACACAACCAAUCAAAAGGUUUGUGCAUGAAAACCCAAUAUCUACGGUCCACUUCUCCAAAAAGAUUUCUGCAAUGUUACACUUCAAACUUCCGCCUUAUCCAUUAAGAUUCUCCACUCCAUGAACUGUUUUUAUGAAGAGGCACACAACCAAUCAAAAGGUUUGUGCAUCAAAACCCAAUAUCUCCUGUCCACUACUCCCAAAAGAUUUCUGCAAUUUACUACACAUCAAACUUCCUUCUCCGCUAUGAUUCUCCACCCCAUGAACUUUUUUUAUGAAGAGGCACACAACCAAUCAAAAGGUUUGUGCAUCAAAACCCAAUAUCUCCUGUCCACUACUCCCAAAAGAUAUCUGCAAUUUACUACACAUCAAACUUCCUUCUCCAAUAUGACUCUCCACCCCAUGAACUGUUUUUAUGAAGAGGCACACAACCAAUCAAAAGGUUUGUGCAUGAAAACCCAAUAUCUACAGUCCACUACUCCAAAAAGAUUUCUGCAAUGUUACACUUCAAACUUCCACCUUAUCCAUUAAGAUUCUCCACUCCAUGAACUGUUUUUUAUGAAGAGGCACACAACCAAUCAAAAGUGAAUACAAAAUCAUUGUUCAAGUAUCUUCAGAAAAUGUCCCGGCAAAACUCUAAACCGAUGCAGGCAGUCAAUAGUCAAAGAUAUCACAAAUGCAUAACCACAAAAGUAACACAAUUCUAUAUGAAAUGUUGGAUGGAUGGCUUGUAUUAUAUUUGGCCUAUGUACAGCAAACUUAGAUGCCAGCCAAAGGAGGAUGGCUUGCCCCUGCUGAGUCUGGUUCCUCCCAAGGUUUCUCCCUAUACCUCUCUGCUGAUGAUCCUCUUCACUAAUUUAGGGAGUUUUUCCUUGCCACUGUUGCCUUCUGGCUUGCUCACUGGGGUUUUAAGGCACAAUAUUUUCAAUGUAAAUUGUUUGUAAAGAACAAUAAAUACAUGAUGAAUUAGAA